rnacentral:lncRNA from 1 species
GUUAUGCUAUUUUUAUAUUUAUAUCAUGUGAAAAAGGAUGUGCACGUAUUUUUAUUGAGUGUUCAAAAUACUCACUCUUACAAUAUUUUCAGAUAAGAAAGGGUCGUGAGGACGCGUGGAAGAUUGACGGAGCGAUACUAAUGUGGUCGUCAAGUAAAAAUUCUAGAAAAGACAAUCGUCAAUUUAUAUAAAGAAUAUCUUUGUGUUAAUAUUUAUGCACGAUAUCUAUUAUGUUGUUUAAUAAUUUGAAAUCGAAUAUUUUCGAUAUAUUUCUGCUUAAAUUAGAUAGAGAAAAGUUUUGGUAGCACCUUGAGCUCAUUUUUAUUUAAAAAUAACAAUAAUAAUCAAAAAGAGUUCGGGGCGUUACAUGCACAUUGGAUUUCUUUAAUUAUAUGUUGCGUAAGAAAGCUGUAAGGAUUGAUACUGGAGUUUUA